rnacentral:lncRNA from 1 species
AUAUAGAUUUCUAUGCUAAAAUUGUAUCUCAAACUUAGGGUUCAUUAAACAAAUUCAAGUGCAUACUUGCGAUCCAAAGUGAAAAGUUAAAGAUUAUAAAUGUGGAUGAAAAUAUUAUAGAGUAAUUACUAACUAAAAUCUAUCACAAUUGGACGAAGAUAUUAAGUAUAUAUCUACAUAAGUAUUGUGUUCGAAUAUUUAACAAACGAGAGGUAGCCUAUGGUAAUAGUUUUGUAGCAAUGUAGUCUCAUUUCUUUUUCCAUUGGAGACUCCGCAUUAGUUCCCACGAGACAAGCAAGAAAAAAGUGAGAAAUUCUCAUAAAAAUUAAAAACAUCAAACGCCAAUC